rnacentral:rRNA from 1 species
GACGGAGGAUGCAAGUGUUAUCCGGAAUCACUGGGCGUAAAGCGUCUGUAGGUGGUUUAAUAAGUCAACUGUUAAAUCUUGAGGCUCAACCUCAAAAUCGCAGUCGAAACUAUUAGGCUAGAGUAUAGUAGGGGUAAAGGGAAUUUCCAGUGGAGCGGUGAAAUGCGUAGAGAUGUGGAGGAACACCGAUGGCGAAGGCAGCCCCCUGGGCCAAUACUGACGCUCAUGCACGAAAGCGUGGGGAGCAAACAGG